rnacentral:tRNA from 1 species
UCUACUAAAGGAAAACAGACUUCCACUGAUCUCAGGCAUCAAACUCCU